rnacentral:snRNA from 1 species
GGAUGUGAGGGCGAUCUGGCUGCAACAUCUAUCAUCCCAUUGAUCACCAGGGUUGAUUCGGCUGAUCUGGCUGGCUAGGCGGGUGUCCCCUUCCUCCCUCAAUGAUCCAUGUGUGUCCCUCCCAAAGCUGCGCACUUGGUUGGAGAGGACGACCACCCCCGAUAGAGGAGGACCACUCCUCAGUCAAGGGUAUACAAGUAGUUGCGCUUCCCUGCUAGAGCCUCCAAACAAGCUCUCAGAUAUAUCUCCUAGGUUUUCCUCAUAGAAUGAAAUUUUUCUAAACCAUUAAAAUAUGGUCAAAGGCAAAACUGAGGAUGUUCCUUACAUAAUGA